ACUUGUAUGAGUUGCACAAUCCAACGACCUUGUAGCCUCAUUGGUCUCAUGUCUUCAUAUCCCCCACCACACUCCGUCUCAAAGUCUCUUGUCCCCAGCUCUCCGUCUCUCUUCCCCAACAUUUAUCUACAACAUUUACUUCCAUUUUCAUCAACCCCACUAGUCUUUUUCUUCUACUUCUUCAUCAAGACCCAGGGCAGAGUGGGCAGACCCAGGACUGGUUUUUUGGGUUUGUGUUGAUGGGUUCAUGUGAUCAGGAAGAGAAAGAAGUGGAUUAUGAGGGAACCCAGAAGCUAGCCAAGACUUUUGUGGCUCUCCUGUGGUCAUUCUUUAUAAGCUUGGGAGGAGGGCUGACCUUGGUGUGGUGGGAGUUUGAGUAUCACCCCACAAACAGUCAGCUGUGGAUGGUGCCCUUUGGUCUCAUCAUGCUUGUUACUCCUGUAAUUGUAUGUUUCUCUGUUUUUGUCUCUGAUGUCUGCAACUCCAGUUCAGGUCAACUCUCUGCUUCUCUUGAUGACUCAGUUCAUCACCCUGUUUGAUUGAAGACGUUUCCAUGUGAUCAGUUGAAUGCUAUUAUCAAUCAAACAAACGAAAAAGCAUGGUGCUACAUGCUGUAAAUUUAAUGAUUCCAUUGAUGAGUUGUGUGCAUGUAUGAUGUAUGAUUCGGA